rnacentral:lncRNA from 1 species
UAUGUCCUAGGUUGUCAAGUGUUUUUACUUGAAACCUUUAACAGUCAUAAGACUAUGGACUCUUCUUCUCGUACUUAGGGGGAUCAGCCCUUAGUACCAUACUGUGCACAAUAUCUUAACGCUAAAGCGUAAAUAAUCCCCUAUACAGGGUUGUUCAUCUCAGUUUGACAUUCGAGUCCGCACCAAAGGAAGUUUGGUUUGG